rnacentral:sRNA from 1 species
AGCAGCCGCGGUAAUUCCAGCUCCAAUAGCGUAUAUUAAAGUUGUUGCAGUUAAAUAGCUCGUAGUUGAAUUUCGGGGUCAGCAGGUUGGUCGUGCCUACGGUAUGAACUGGCCUUGCUGAUUCCUCCUUCUUGAUGAGCCGUAAUGCCAUUAAUUUGGUGUUGCGGGGAAUCAGGACUGUUACUUUGAAAAAAUUAGAGUGUUUAAAGCAGGCAAGCGCUUGAAUACAUUAGCAUGGAAUAAUGAAAUAGGACGUUCGAUCCUAUUUUGUUGGUUUCUAGGAUUGACGUAAUGAUUAAUAGGGAUAGUUGGGGGCAUUAGUAUUCAAUUGUCAGAGGUGAAAUUCUUGGAUUUAUUGAAGACUAACUACUGCGAAAGCAUUUGCCAAGGAUGUUUUCAUUAAUCAAGAACGAAAGUUAGGGGAUCGAAGACGAUCAGAUACCGUCGUAGUCUUAACCAUAAACUAUGCCGACUAGGGAUCGGAUGAUGUUAAUUUUUUAAUGACUCAU